rnacentral:lncRNA from 1 species
ACCUGUGGGGAGGCUGCUGGCUUGGGCUUGGACCUGUGAAGUUGUCGGAGGUGGCUGUGCUCUCUGGGCACUUGGCUGAAAUGUGAUGCCAUUGGUUCUCAGUCAAGGUUCCUCUCUGCAGGGCUGGGAACACAGAUCAGCUGCUCCCGGGUGUACACAACCGGGAAGCAGAUCCACCCGCUGCGAGCAGCCUUUUUAACCCCGAGACUUUUUCCAAGAGCUCCUGUGCACGCAGGAAGUUUCCUUCCCUGGCGUCACAUGUAGCCCUGAGCUGCCGUCUUCAGAUCCGAGCUGGGCUCCCUGCAGCACAGGAGAGCGGCUUCUUUGAGACAUUUGUCCUUGAAACUGCACCAAACUCUGGGGAGAGCCUAGAACGCAGCUGACAACUGAUUGGUUCAUCAAUGAACAAUAUUCAAUUAUGAAGAUGUAAGGAAAAAGUCCUCUGCUAACAUUGUCGCGGCUUGAAAGAUGGAGAAACGUAAACAGAGAGAGAGGGGGCAUUGGAUCCAGAGCCCACGAUUAGCAGGUGGCAGAGGCAAGGUUACUCGGACUUUCGGAUCUGUUUUACUUCUUAUUUUGUGGACACAGUGUCAGUCAGAAUUUGAAAAAUUCUUUGAGAACAUCCAUGAAUUUUUAAGUGGAUGCAAACUUCCAGAGGGGCAGACCUUCAAGGCAAGAGAGAAUGUUCAUCCUUAUCCACUGGCAUCUGGACAAGACACAGGGGUG